rnacentral:rRNA from 1 species
UACGUAGGGUGCAAGCGUUGUCCGGAUUUAUUGGGCGUAAAGAGCUCGUAGGCGGUCUGUCGCGUCGGAUGUGAAAACCCAGGGCUCAACCCUGGGCCUGCAGUCGAUACGGGCAGACUAGAGUGUGGCAGGGGAGACUGGAAUUCCUGGUGUAGCGGUGAAAUGCGCAGAUAUCAGGAGGAACACCCGUGGCGAAGGCGGGUCUCUGGGCCAAUACUGACGCUGAGAAGCGAAAGCGUGGGGAGCGAACAGG